AUUGAACGCUAGCGGCAGGCCUAACACAUGCAAGUCGAACGAGAGGCGGGCGGGUGAGUAAUGUCUGGGAAACUGCCUGCUGGAGGGGGAUAACUACUGGAAACGGUAGCUAAUACCGCCUACAAUCGGAAGUGCCCAGAUGGGAUUUGCUUGUCGGUGGGGGAAGGUCACACCUAGGCCACGAUCCCUAUCUGGGGUGAGAGGAUGACCAGCCACACUGGAACUGAGAUGCGGUCCAGACUCCUACGGGAGGCAGCAGUGGGGAAUAGUGCAUAAGUGGCGCAAGCCUGAUGCAGCCAUGCCGCGUGUAUGAAGAAGGCACUGGGGUUGUAAAGUACUGUCAGUCUGGAGGCGUUACCGCAAGAAGAAGCACCGGCUAACUCCGUGCCAGCAGCCGCGGUAAUAC
rnacentral:rRNA from 1 species